rnacentral:rRNA from 1 species
CACGUAGGAGGCGAGCGUUGUCCGGAAUCAUUGGGCGUAAAGAGCGCGCAGGCGGCUUGGCAAGUCGGGUGUGAAAUCCCGGGGCUCAACCCCGGGACUGCAUUCGAUACUGUCAGGCUAGAGGUAGGUAGGGGAGAUCGGAAUUCCUGGUGUAGCGGUGAAAUGCGCAGAUAUCAGGAGGAACACCGUAGCGGCAAGGCGGCUCUGGGACCGUA